AGGACACCAGUGUCGUACACAGGCUUUGGAUAUAUAUUGUCCUCAGUUUUAUUCGAUGGCUUUGACAGCCGCAUCCAUUACUAGGAGAAAAAAAACUCCCAGCUCUUCCUGGGCCCCCGUCACACGUGUUUCUGCCAGCAGACACCACGCACUUCUCCGUGCUCAUUCCUGACCUUUCAGGAGGAGGCAGAGCCACUCUGGGUGAUCAUCGUCCGCACUGCUGGAAAGACAAUGGGCUGGUCUCUAGGCAACCGGUCUCCAGCUUGGCUCUGCCUCCAACUUGAGUAUGUCUCUGAGACAGCCCUCCCCGGGCUGGGUUGCAGUCAACAAAGUGAGGAAGCUUGACCAAAAGGAACUCAGAAAACCCAUCCAGCUUGAUAGCAGAGGCAGCAGCUGCACAGAGGUGGAACGAAUGCGGGCUCACGGCUGGAACACUUCCAUUAGGGCUGGAGGAAAGCAUGCUCCUGGAUUCUCUGGAAAAUCACUUAGGUCUCUGUCUGGCUGCAAAAUGAAGCCAGGUGUGGGUCUGCUUACCUGCCCAGCUGACGACCAGAGCAGAUCUGCAAGAGACGUGGCCAGAGCACUGAACUAGGCAUCACUGAAGCGCUGGUCACUUCUGUGCCGUGUGGCAUUAGGCAAGUCCCUGAUCCUCUCUGAGCCUGAGCUCUUUUCAGUGAAAUAAGGAUGCUAAAUCAGAUGCCUCUGCUCAUCUUUGCGAUAAAAUGAACUGAAAUUUAGUGCUUAACC
ensembl:lncRNA